GACGAACGCUGGCGGCGUGCUUAACACAUGCAAGUCGAACGGUGAAGGGACCGGUUUUUGCUGGUUCUGGAUGAGUGGCGAACGGGUGAGUAACACGUGAGUAACCUGCCCCCUUCUUCUGGAUAACCGCAUGAAAGUGUGGCUAAUACGGGAUAUUCUGCGCCUGCUGCAUGGUGGGUGUGGGAAAGAUAUUGUUUCGGGGGGGGAUGGGCUCGCGGCCUAUCAGCUUGUUGGUGGGGUGAUGGCCUACCAAGGCGGUGACGGGUAGCCGGCCUGAGAGGGUGGACGGUCACACUGGGACUGAGACACGGCCCAGACUCCUACGGGAGGCAGCAGUGGGGAAUAUUGCACAAUGGGCGCAAGCCUGAUGCAGCGACGCCGCGUGAGGGAUGGAGGCCUUCGGGUUGUAAACCUCUUUCGCCAGUGAAGCAGGCCUGUCCCUUUUGUGGGUGGGUUGACGGUAGCUGGAUAAGAAGCGCCGGCUAACUACGUG
rnacentral:rRNA from 1 species